ensembl:rRNA 5S_rRNA 5S ribosomal RNA
GUCUAUGGCUAUAGCACCCUGAAGGUGUCUGAUCUCAUCUGAUCUAUGCAGGGUCAGGCCUAGUUAGUACUUGCAUGGGAGUCUGCUUGGGAAUACCAUGUGAUAAAGGUU